UCCGUGGUCAGCGGCGGACGGGUGAGUAACGCGUGGGUGACCUACCCGGAAGAGGGGGACAACCCGGGGAAACUCGGGCUAAUCCCCCAUGUGGACCCGCCCCUUGGGGUGUGUCCAAAGGGCUUUGCCCGCUUCCGGAUGGGCCCGCGUCCCAUCAGCUAGUUGGUGGGGUAAUGGCCCACCAAGGCGACGACGGGUAGCCGGUCUGAGAGGAUGGCCGGCCACAGGGGCACUGAGACACGGGCCCC
rnacentral:rRNA from 1 species